GCCGAAGUGGUGGAAUUGGUAGACACGCUAUCUUGAGGGGGUAGUGUCCGAGAGGGCGUGCCGGUUCGAGUCCGGCCUUCGGCA
rnacentral:tRNA from 1 species